rnacentral:rRNA from 1 species
GGAUAAGCUUGGGAAACUGGGUCUAAUACCGGAUAUGACUACAGCAUGCAUGUGUUGUGGUGGAAAGAUUUAUCGGUGCAGGAUGGGCCCGCGGCCUAUCAGCUUGUUGGUGGGGUAAUGGCCUACCAAGGCGACGACGGGUAGCCGACCUGAGAGGGUGACCGGCCACACUGGGACUGAGACACGGCCCAGACUCCUACGGGAGGCAGCAGUGGGGAAUAUUGCACAAUGGGCGGAAGCCUGAUGCAGCGACGCCGCGUGAGGGAUGAAGGCCUUCGGGUUGUAAACCUCUUUCAGCAGGGACGAAGCGUGAGUGACGGUACCUGCAGAAGAAGCACCGGCUAACUACGUGCCAGCAGCCGCGGUAAUACGUAGGGUGCGAGCGUUGUCCGGAAUUACUGGGCGUAAAGAGUUCGUAGGCGGUUUGUCGCGUCGUUUGUGAAAACCCGGGGCUCAACUUCGGGCUUGCAGGCGAUACGGGCAGACUUGAGUGUUUCAGGGGAGACUGGAAUUCCUGGUGUAGCGGUGAAAUGCGCAGAUAUCAGGAGGAACACCGGUGGCGAAGGCGGGUCUCUGGGAAACAACUGACGCUGAGGAACGAAAGCGUGGGUAGCAAACAGGAUUAGAUACCCUGGUAGUCCACGCCGUA